ACCGAUCUGUUGAAAUGGUAAACAUUCAAGAUUUAGAAUCUUGUGCAUUUGCUUAGGGGUUCAAGUCCCCUGAUCGGUA
rfam:Candidatus Carsonella ruddii DC, complete genome.